UACGGAGGGUGCAAGCGUUAUCCGGAUUCACUGGGUUUAAAGGGUGCGUAGGUGGGCAGGUAAGUCAGUGGUGAAAUCUCCGGGCUUAACUCGGAAACUGCCAUUGAUACUAUCUGUCUUGAAUACCGUGGAGGUUAGCGGAAUAUGUCAUGUAGCGGUGAAAUGCGUAGAUAUCAAGAGGAACACCUGCGGCGAAGGCGGGUUGCUGGGCCGACACUGACGCUGAGGCGCGAAAGCCAGGGGAGCGAACGGG
rnacentral:rRNA from 1 species